rnacentral:rRNA from 1 species
GACGAACGCUGGCGGCGUGCCUAAUACAUGCAAGUCGAACGCUUUUUCUUUCACCGGAGCUUGCUCCACCGAAAGAAAAAGAGUGGCGAACGGGUGAGUAACACGUGGGUAACCUGCCCAUCAGAAGGGGAUAACACUUGGAAACAGGUGCUAAUACCGUAUAACACUAUUUUCAGCAUGGAAGAAAGUUGAAAGGCGCUUUUGCGUCACUGAUGGAUGGACCCGCGGUGCAUUAGCUAGUUGGUGAGGUAACGGCUCACCAAGGCAACGAUGCAUAGCCGACCUGAGAGGGUGAUCGGCCACACUGGGACUGAGACACGGCCCAGACUCCUACGGGAGGCAGCAGUAGGGAAUCUUCGGCAAUGGACGAAAGUCUGACCGAGCAGCGCCGCGUGAGUGAAGAAGGUUUUCGGAUCGUAAAACUCUGUUGUUAGAGAAGAACAAGGAUGAGAGUAAAACGUUCAUCCCUUGACGGUAUCUAACCUGAAAGCCACGGCUAACUACGUGCCAGCCGCCGCGGUAA